CCUACGGGUGGCAGCAGUGAGGAAUAUUGGUCAAUGGCCGCAAGCCUGAACCAGCCAAGUCGCGUGAGGGAUGACGGUCCUAUGGAUUGUAAACCUCUUUUGUCAGGGAGCAAAAAGCGCCACGUGUGGCGUUUUGCGAGUACCCGAAGAAAAAGCAUCGGCUAACUCCGUGCCAGCAGCCGCGGUAAUACGGAGGAUGCGAGCGUUAUCCGGAUUUAUUGGGUUUAAAGGGUGCGCAGGCGGAAAGUCAAGUCAGCGGUAAAAUUUCGGGGCUCAACCCCGACGUGCCGUUGAAACUGGCGUUCUUGAGUGAGCGAGAAGUAUGCGGAAUGCGUGGUGUAGCGGUGAAAUGCAUAGAUAUCACGCAGAACUCCGAUUGCGAAGGCAGCUUACCAGGCUACAACUGACGCUGAGGCACGAAAGCGUGGGGAGCGAACAGGAUUAGAUACCCGUGUAGUC
rnacentral:rRNA from 1 species